rnacentral:rRNA from 1 species
CCUACGGGAGGCAGCAGUGGGGAAUCUUGCGCAAUGGGCGAAAGCCUGACGCAGCAACGCCGCGUGCGGGAAGAAGGCUUUCGGGCUGUAAACCGCUUUCAGCAGGAACGAAAAUGACGGUACCUGCAGAAGAAGGAGCGGCCAACUAUGUGCCAGCAGCCGCGGUGAUACAUAGACUUCAAGCGUUGUCCGGAUUUAUUGGGCGUAAAGAGUUCGUAGGCGGUCAAGUAAGUCGGGUGUGAAAAUUCUGGGCUCAACCCAGAGACGCCACCCGAUACUGCUUAACUUGAGUUCGAUAGGGGAGUGGGGAAUUCCUAGUGUAGCGGUGAAAUGCGCAGAUAUUAGGAGGAACACCGGUGGCGAAGGCGCCACUCUGGAUCGAUACUGACGCUGAGGAACGAAAGCAUGGGUAGCAAACAGGAUUAGAUACCCUGGUAGUCCAUGCCGUAAACGGUGGGCACUAGGUGUGGGUUUCUAUUAACGAAAUCCGCGCCGUCGCUAACGCAUUAAGUGCCCCGCCUGGGGGAGGUACGGUCGCGAGACGUAAACUACGAAAGGAAGUUAGUAACGGUCGUGAGACGUGCCGAACGGACGACGACGAGGGGAGGUUAGG